CCUACGGGAGGCAGCAGUGAGGAAUAUUGGUCAAUGGCCGUAAGUCUGAACCAGCCAAGUCGCGUGAAGGAAGAAGGAUCUAUGGUUUGUAAACUUCUUUUAUAUGGGAAUAAAGGUAUGCAUGCAUACAUACUUGCAUGUACCAUAUGAAUAAGCAUCGGCUAACUCCGUGCCAGCAGCCGCGGUAAUACGGAGGAUGCGAGCGUUAUCCGGAUUUAUUGGGUUUAAAGGGAGCGUAGGUGGAUUGUUAAGUCAGUUGUGAAAGUUUGCGGCUCAACCGUAAAAUUGCAAUUGAGACUGGCAGUCUUGAGUACAGUAGAGGUGGGCGGAAUUCGUGGUGUAGCGGUGAAAUGCUUAGAUAUCACGAAGAACCCCGAUUGCGAAGGCAGCUUACUAAACUGUGACUGACAUUGAUGCUCGAAAGUGUGGGUAUCAAACAGGAUUAGAUACCCCAGUAGUC
rnacentral:rRNA from 1 species